GUGAGUAUAGAUCAGUAGCAGAGCACAUGCCUAGCAUGCAUGAGGUCCUGGGUUUAAUCCCCAGUACCUCCA
rnacentral:tRNA from 1 species